rnacentral:misc_RNA from 1 species
GAUGAAGAACGCAGCGAAAUGCGAUACGUAAUGUGAAUUGCAGAAUUCAGUGAAUCAUCGAGUCUUUGAACGCACAUUGCGCCCCUUGGUAUUCCAUGGGGCAUGCCUGUUCGAGCGUCAUUUGUACCUUCAAGCUUUGCUUGGUGUUGGGUGUUUGUCUCGCCUUUGCGUGUAGACUCGCCUUAAAAUAAUUGGCAGCCGGCGUAUUGAUUUCGGAGCGCAGUACAUCUCGCGCUUUGCACUCAUAACGACAGCGUCCAAAAGUACAUUUUACACUCUUGACCUCGGAUCAGGUAGGGAUACCCGCUGAACUUAAGCAUAUCAAUAAGCGGAGGA